GCUAAACGCGAAGAACCUUACCAGCUUUUGACAUGUCCGGUAUGGGCACCAGAGAUGGAGUCCUUCAGUUCGGCUGGCCGGAACACAGGUGCUGCAUGGCUGUCGUCAGCUCGUGUCGUGAGAUGUUGGGUUAAGUCCCGCAACGAGCGCAACCCUCGUCCCUAGUUGCCAUCAUUCAGUUGGGCACUCUAGGGAGACUGCCGGUGAUAAGCCGCGAGAGGUGGGAUGACGUCAAGUCCUCAUGGCCCUUACAGGCUGGGCUACACACGUGCUACAAUGGCGGUGACAGUGGGAAGCGAACCCGCGAGGGGGAGCUAAUCUCAAAAAGCCGUCUCAGUUCGGAUUGCACUCUGCAACUCGAGUGCAUGAAGUUGGAAUCGCUAGUAAUCGUGGAUCAGCACGCCACGGUGAAUACGUUCCCGGGUCUUGUACACACCGAGUCGUGG
rnacentral:rRNA from 1 species